GGGGGCGAAAAGGUUUCGACAGGGAUAUUUGAUCUAAAAGGAGCAUGCCGAGGUCGCCAAAAGACUCGUAAAACAUUUGGCACAAACUUAAUUGCCAACGAGCAAUUAGCUUUCGCUCCCGCUUAAAGCGGGGCGCGCUCCUCCCAUCUCGCCUGUGGAAUGGGAUGUGUCCCGUAAAAUCGCUUUGCGAUCACGGGACUACCACGUGGUCCCGAUUUAUCGGGAUUUUACGUGGUGGGUGUCAGAAACACAGGAUAGUCUCCUCUUCUCGUUUGAGGAAGAGGGGAUGAAUCUUUAAUCAAACUGGUCCCGAUCAAUCCCGCCAAUAGGAGUGAUCGGGAUGAGAGAAAAAUGUUGGUUAAGCAUGUAGCGCCUUUAGAGAAAUAUUCCUGGACACGGGUUCGAUUCCCGUCGCCUCCACGC
rnacentral:tmRNA from 1 species